rnacentral:rRNA from 1 species
UACGGAGGGGGCUAGCGUUGUUCGGAAUUACUGGCGUAAAGCGCGCGUAGGCGGACCUGCAAGUCGGGGGUGAAAGCCCGAGGCUCAACCUCGGAACUGCCUUCGAUACUGCGGGUCUCGAGUCCGGGAGAGGUGAGUGGAAUUCCUAGUGUAGAGGUGAAAUUCGUAGAUAUUAGGAAGAACACCAGUGGCGAAGGCGGCUCACUGGCCCGGUACUGACGCUGAGG